rnacentral:rRNA from 1 species
CAACUCUCAACAACGGAUAUCUUGGCUCCCGCAACGAUGAAGAACGCAGCGAAAUGCGAUACGUAGUGUGAAUUGCAGAAUUCCGUGAACCAUCGAAUCUUUGAACGCAAAUUGCGCUCGAGGCCUCGGCCAAGAGCAUGUCUGCCUCAGCGUCGGCUACUACCCUCGA